rnacentral:rRNA from 1 species
UACAGAGGUGGCAAGCGUUGUUCGGAAUUACUGGGCGUAAAGGGCGCGUAGGCGGCCUGUUAAGUCGAACGUGAAAUCCCCGGGCUCAACCCGGGAACUGCGUCCGAUACUGGCAGGCUUGAAUUCGGGAGAGGGAUGUGGAAUUCCAGGUGUAGCGGUGAAAUGCGUAGAUAUCUGGAGGAGCACCGGUGGCGAAGGCGGCAUCCUGGACCGAUAUUGACGCUGAUGCGCGAAAGCCAGGGGAGCAAACGGG